UACGGAGGUGGCUAGCGUUGUUCGGAAUUACUGGGCGUAAAGCGCACGUAGGCGGCUUUGUAAGUUAGAGGUGAAAGCCCGGGGCUCAACUCCGGAAUUGCCUUUAAGACUGCAUCGCUCGAAUUGUGGAGAGGUAAGUGGAAUUCCGAGUGUAGAGGUGAAAUUCGUAGAUAUUCGGAAGAACACCAGUGGCGAAGGCGACUUACUGGACACAUAUUGACGCUGAGGUGCGAAAGCGUGGGGAGCAAACAGG
rnacentral:rRNA from 1 species